AACGAACGUUGGCGGCGUGGAUUAGGCAUGCAAGUCGCGCGAGAACGUCACCUUCGGGUGGCUAGUAAAGCGGCGAACGGGUGAGUAACACGUGGGGAAUCUGCCCUCGAGUUGGGGAUAACACUCCUAACGGAGUGCUAAUACCGGAUAACACGACCGGGUCGCAUGGCCUGGUCGUCAAAGCUGGCCUCUGCUUGCAAGCUGGCGCUUGAGGAUGGCCCCGCGCCCCAUUAGCUAGUUGGUGAGGUAACGGCCCACCAAGGCUCCGAUGGGUAGCUGGUCUGAGAGGAUGGUCAGCCACACUGGGACUGAGACACGGCCCAGACUCCUACGGGUGGCAG
rnacentral:rRNA from 1 species